GACGAACGCUGGCGGCGCGCCUAAUACAUGCAAGUCGAGCGAGAACCAGGGCUUGCCCUGGGGAGAGCGGCGAACGGGUGCGUAUCACGUGAGCAACCUGCCUCAGAGACCGGGAUAACUCGAGGAAACUCGGGCUAAUACCGGAUGCCCUCGGUGGACCGCAUGGUCCGGCGAGGAAAUGGAUUCCGCUCUGAGAUGGGCUCGCGGCCUAUCAGCUUGUUGGUGGGGUAACGGCCUACCAAGGCGACAACGGGUAGCUGGUCUGAGAGGACGAUCAGCCACACUGGGACUGAGACACGGCCCAGACUCCUACGGGAGGCAGCAGUAGGGAAUCUUGCGCAAUGGGGGAAACCCUGACGCAGCGACGCCGCGUGCGGGAUGAAGGCCUUCGGGUCGUAAACCGCUUUCAGCAGGGACGAAAUUGACGGUACCUGCAGAAGAAGGCCCGGCCAACUACGUGCCAGCAGCCGCGGUAA
rnacentral:rRNA from 1 species